rnacentral:rRNA from 1 species
GACGAACUGUCCAAACGUUGUUCGGAAUCACUGGGCUUAAAGGGCGCGUAGGCGGCGCGGUAAGUCGGGUGUGAAAUCUCGGAGCUUAACUCCGAAACUGCAUUCGAUACUGCCGUGCUUGAGGACUGGAGAGGAGACUGGAAUUUACGGUGUAGCGGUGAAAUGCGUAGAUAUCGUAAGGAAGACCAGUGGCGAAGGCGGGUCUCUGGACAGUUCCUGACGCUGAGGCACGAAGGCCAGGGGAGCAAACGGG